AGGCUAUGGUGUGGACAUUUUUUCAGUAGCUCUUUGUACUUUUCCUAUACAUCAGGAACUACUUCAUCAUCCAUUUGUUUAAAAGUGCAAAUCUCAUUUAUGGAUUU